rnacentral:snoRNA from 1 species
UGCAGCCCUGUCAAAUUCGAUCCCUGCCUCCUCUGUGGGGGGGCCCGGCCAGCCGCCUGCCAUAGAAACUUCUGUGGUCUGUGAGCCCCAUGUUCCCUUUGCAUGGGACACUGGGAAUAAAACCACACCAGAGACACUG